AUGCGAAGGCGAGAGAAAGACAGCGAGGAAAAAUGGAAGGGGCGAGAAUGAAAUAGCUAUUUCUUUCUCGCCCCUCCCAUUUUUCUUCGCUCUCUUUCUCUCGCCUUUGCAUA